rnacentral:rRNA from 1 species
AUGGGGCGCAGCAGGCGCGAAACCUCCGCAAUGCGCGAAAGCGCGACGGGGGGACCCCGAGUGCCCUGCCUCUGGCAGGGCUUUUCCGGAGUGUAAACAGCUCCGGGAAUAAGGGCUGGGCAAGUCCGGUGCCAGCAGCCGCGGUAAUACCGGCGGCCCAAGUGGUGGCCACUGUUAUUGGGCCUAAAGCGUCCGUAGCCGGCCCGGUAAGUCUCUGCUUAAAUCCCGCGGCUUAACCGCGGGGCUGGCAGAGAUACUGCCGGGCUUGGGACCGGGAGAGGCCGGGGGUACCCCAGGGGUAGCGGUGAAAUGCGUUGAUCCCUGGGGGACCACCUGUGGCGAAGGCGCCCGGCUGGAACGGGUCCGACGGUGAGGGACGAAGGCCGGGGGAGCAAACCGGAUUAGAUACCCGGGUAGUCCCGGCUGUAAACUCUGCGGACUAGGUGUCGCGUGCCCUUCGGGGGCACGCGGUGCCGAAGGGAAGCCGUUAAGUCCGCCGCCUGGGGAGUACGGCCGCAAGACUGAAACUUAAAGGAAUUGGCGGGGGAGCAC